rnacentral:rRNA from 1 species
AUGCUUGGGAAUAUGCCUUGAGGUGGGGACAACAGUUGGAAACGACUGCUAAUACCGCAUAAUGUCUACGGACCGAAAGGAAAGGGAUCUUUCGGACCUUUCGGCCUUUAAGAUUAGGCCCAAGUCGUAGAUUAGCUAGUAGGUGAGGUAAUGGCUCACCUAGGCGACGAUCUCUAGCUGGUUUGAGAGGAUUGAUCAGCCAACGACUGGGACUGAGACACGGCCCAGACUCCUACGGGAGCAGCAGUGGGAAUAUUGCACAACGGGGAAACCCUGAUGCAGCCAUGCCGCGUGUGUGAA